rnacentral:rRNA from 1 species
GAUUAGCUUGUUGGUGAGGUAAUGGCUCACCAAGGCGACGAUCCGUAACUGGUCUGAGAGGAUGAUCAGUCACACCGGAACUGAGACACGGUCCGGACUCCUACGGGAGGCAGCAGUCGGGAAUUUUGCCCAAUGGACGAAAGUCUGAGGCAGCAACUCCGCGUGAGGGACGAAGGCCUUCGGGUCGUAAACCUCUUUUCUCAGGGAAGAUACAAGACGGUGCCUGAGGAAUAAGCCACGGCUAACUACGUGC